CAUUUCAGUAGCCGUUGGAUUUGAAAAAAGGGCUGUUUUCCCUAUGCCGUUGUUUAACUUGCACUUUUAUUUCUCCUCUGUCUGGGUUUUGUAGAUUCACUUGUCUUAAAUGCACUUUACUCAAAGUUCAGAUCUUUAAGAUACUGGGUUCUUCAAGGAGGAGGAGGAAGAGGGCGUGAUUGUUCCUUCAGAUUUUUGGUUUUUUCAUUUUGGGUUGAGAAAAUGAAUGUAUCUGAUGAGAACAAUCCUAACAUUGCCAAACCCACACUUUUUCAAGGAGAGCUUCGGAUGGGUAACAGAAAGUUUGGACAGGAGAUUAGACACAACAGAAGAGUUCUAAAUGUUUUAAAUCAGAAAUUUAUUGGGGCACAAGCAUAUCCUUGUGUUGUUAGCAAGAGACGCCUGUCAGAAAAUCUUGGAGUCUCUGAAAGAAACCAGCUAGAUCCUGUGCAUCGACCGAUUACAAGGAAGUUUGCUGCACAAUUGUCAAGUACACAUCAGCAUUGUCCACAGCAGGAGACAAAGAGGCAGAAACCAUCAGCUCCAAGCGCAAAUGGGUUUGGAGACUGUAUAUUCAUAGAUGUUGAAGAAGAAAAUAAGGCACCUGCAGAUCAUGCAGAACCAAUGUUUUUAGAACAAACAGAAGCAGUCCUUGAUGAGAUGGAGGAGGUUGAAAUGGAGGAUAUAAUUGAAGAGCCCAUCUUGGAUAUUGAUGGCUGUGAUGCAAAGAAUCCUCUUGCUGUUGUUGAUUAUGUUGAAGACAUGUAUGCCUACUACAGAAAAAAGGAGAGUUUUAGCUGUGUCUCCCCAAACUACAUGGAACAACAGUUCGACAUCAAUGAGAAGAUGAGAGCUAUACUAAUAGACUGGCUUAUUGAGGUGCAUGACAAGUUUGAACUCAUGAACGAGACAUUAUUUCUUACAGUUAAUCUUAUAGAUAGGUUUCUAUCACAGCAAACAGUGGUAAGAAAGAAGCUUCAAUUGGUUGGAUUGGUUGCCCUGCUAUUAGCAUGCAAGUACGAGGAAGUUUCUGUUCCAGUAGUGGGAGAUCUAAUUCUUAUAUCAGAUAAGGCUUACAACAGGAAAGAAAUUCUAGAAAUGGAAAAUUUGAUGCUCAACAGAUUACAGUUCAAUAUGUCAGUUCCAACUCCAUAUGUUUUCAUGCAAAGGUUCCUCAAGGCUGCUCAAUGUGAUAAGAAGUAAUCUGUGUGCUGAAAACAGAUUGAGCUGUUGUCCUUUUUCUUGAUUGAGCUUUCUAUUGUGGAGUAUGAAAUGCUCAAGUUCCCACCAUCUCUGCUGGCGGCUGCAGCAAUCUAUACUGCUCAGUGCACAAUCUAUGGAUUCAAGCAGUGGAGUAGGACCUGUGAGUGUCACAGCAGCUAUUCAGAAGAUCAACUUUUAGAAUGUUCAAGACUAAUGGUUGGUUUCCACCAGAAAGCUGGGACAGGGAAACUCAGUGGAGUACACAGGAAAUACAAUACAUCAAAGUUUGGGUAUACUUCAAAAUGUGAAGCAGCACAUUUUCUAUUAGAGAAUAAAGAAUAGCUGGGAAAUUGUGUACAGCUACUACUGACUAUUACUUGAUUUGGGGUUACACAAUAAUCAGCAGCAACUUCUGUUGCAACUCACUGGGAAUUGAUAUUGUGAAUUUUUCAUGUAUUGGCUGUUUAAUACCUUACAGCCAUAGUUGAUGCUACGUUCCAUUUGAACAUAACAUCUUCACUGUAAUUUUCCUGUUUUUGAUGUUCCAUUGAAAACAAUAAUUUUAUCACAUAUCAUAUGCUUCUUUUCCCCUA